rnacentral:rRNA from 1 species
AUUGAACGCUGGCGGCAGGCCUAACACAUGCAAGUCGAACGAGUGGCGGACGGGUGAGUAAUGUCUGGGAAACUGCCUGAUGGAGGGGGAUAAAUACUGGAAACGGUAGCUAAUACCGCAUACCAUCGGAUGUGCCCAGAUGGGAUUAGCUAGUAGGUGGGGUAAAGGCUCACCUAGGCGACGAACCCUAGCUGGGCGGAGAGGAUGACCCGCCACACGGGAACUGAGACACGGUCCAGACUCCUACGGGAGGGAGCAGUGGGGAAUAGGGCACAAUGGGCGCAAGCCUGAUGCAGCCAUGCCGCGUGUAUGAAGAAGGCCUUCGGGUUGUAAAGUACUUUCAGCGGGGAGGCGUUACCCGCAGAAGAAGCACCGGCUAACUCCGUGCCAGCCGCGGCGGUAAUUC